ensembl:snRNA U2 U2 spliceosomal RNA
GCUCUGAGGCCAAUAUAUUAAAUGGAGUUUUGGAACUAGGAGUUGGAAUAGGAGCUUGCUCCGUCCAUUUCAAUCAUAGACCUGGUAUUGCAGUACCUCCAGGAACGGUGU